rnacentral:lncRNA from 1 species
GGUUAUUAUUGGUUUAUGCACAGAAUCUGCAAAGAUACAUAUAUGGAUAUGGAUUCUGCAAAAACAAGAUGGAAGAAACUAUGCAGGACUCCCACAACCUUGGACAGCUCCACCCCUGUGGCUUUGCAGGGUCCAGGACCCCUCCCAGCUGCUUCCAUGGGCUGGCAUUGAGUGUCUGCAGCUUUUUCAGGUUCACGAUGCAAGCCGUAAGUGGACCUACCAUUCUGGGAUCUGGAUGAUGGUGGCCAUAUUCUCACAGCUCCACUAGACAAUGCCCCAAUGGGGAAUCUGUGUGGGGACUCCAACCCCACAUUUUCCUUCUGCACUGCCCUAGC